UGCCAAUGAAAGUGUGCUUAUAGGACAGUGAAGUUGUGUGUCCUUAAAAAUAUAAAACAUUUUAAAUAAAAAAAUAGUUUCACUUACUUCACGUGAGUAAGAGAGUGAGUGUGUGUGUGUGUGUGUGUGUCAAAGAGCUUGUGUGUGCCAA